GCAGCCGCUGCAGUGCCGGAUGUCCCCGCGAGCUCCAUCCUUCCCUCCAGCUGUCCCGGGCAGCGCGGCAGGGCUGAGGAGCACCGCUCCGGUUGUGCUGAAUCAGACAAAUCGCGUUCAUGUUAGGCCAGGACCUCAUUUCAGAGAGAUUUAUUCUGAAACAUGACUUAUUCUGAACACGUACUGACAGACACUUCAGGCCUUCCUCCUCAGAUGCUCCAACCACCAGCGGUCUCCCACGUGACUGAGGUGGGAAACUUGGAUAUUUAGAAGCUGUGGGUGAGAAAACCUGGCCAACAUCCACUAAUCCUCCCUCUGGUGUGAAAACACAACAGGACUUUGGACAGCAAGGCAAGGUGGCACGUGUUCCACAACUCCUGCAGCAAAACACGGCUCAGUACAACCUCUAGGUUCACCCUGUAGAGAAAGAAGAUGAAACAAGGGAUGUCAUACACAGCCCAAAAGAACUCUGAGCAACUUUGCUGAAUGUGUUUAAAGCUACUGAACUUCACAAUUUUUAUUUCAGAAGUAAAAUGAUAAACAAAAAACAAAGCACUUUUAAUCUUCAAAGUAAUGUAUGAUCAAUGACAGCUUCACAGCACUUGAUUGUCAAGUAUCAUAAUCUGUGUUUUACUCUGGAAGGAAAAGAUGCAUAGAGAAUAAGUGAUCUGCCCGGGUCUAAUGCUGAAACAAGGAUGGAACUCAAACAUCACAAGCUUGUACAUUAAACCACAAAAAUCACACUUCCAUCUAGAAGCUUUUCUUUUGUCACCAAUUUUUAUUUGAGCAAAUGAUUAUUAUAAUAAAUAGAACACUUUUUUUUUCCAGCCCCUGGAGAAACAUCAGAUACACUGAUGGAGGUACAUCUCAGAAUUACUUGGCUGUAUCUUCAGCAUAGCACACC